AUACCAUAUAAAUCAAACUAAUUCAGUAAAUCGUAUAAUCUAUUAUUCCGGCAUAUAAAAAUGACAUACCAUCAGCAGAGUAGGACCCUGUACUGUCACUCCAUAGAACCAUAUUGAUAAACCAAGAGGACACAUAGUGACUGAACUUUCAGCUUUUUGCAUUGAUCUAGUGCCAGAAAUUUAACUUCAGCAUGUUCUCCAUGAUAUGCAAGCUCAUUUUUACUUGAUUUCAAUGUCUUAAUUUUGCAUUAUGAAUUGCAUUUCAUCAAGGCACAUGCCAUCCCAAGAAUUACAUUUUGAAUAGAUAUUGAACUUGAGGGUCAUGGAGGUUACACUUUACCAUCUCAUUUAUACUUCGUGAAUAAAGAAUUCACAUUGCAAUCCAGGGCCAUCAAUGGCUCAAACAUACCAUCUAAAUCCAGGGUCAUCAAAGUAACUUAUAUCCAUCACAUAAUUUAUAUAGCCAAUAGAAAUUGGACUUAAUCGAAGCAACAUUUAUCCACAUAUUGAGGCAAGGGUCAUCAAGGCAACAUAUAACCAUCUAAGAAUUUAUAUAGUCCAAUAAAAAAUGGACUUAAGGGUCAUCGAAGAAAAACACAAGCAUUUUUGCGCAACUUAAUUCACUUGCACAUAGUUAUAGCUCUAUAUACCAAAAUAAAACUUAAUUUUGUAUAUAGAUUAAAUUAUAUCACAUUAUUUAUGAUGAUGAACCCCAACUUUUCAGUUGCACAGUACUUUCUUUAGCCGCAAUUAUUUCUAGAGAUCAAAAUUUACAAAUUUCAGGACUUUCCUAAAGAAUUGUUUUUUGCUUUUGGAGUUAACCAUUUUACCCUGCAAAGAAUCAUAUCUCUUUGCUUUCACCGUAU
rnacentral:lncRNA from 1 species